rnacentral:rRNA from 1 species
UACGAAGGGGGCGAGCGUUGUUCGGAAUUACUGGGCGUAAAGGGCGCGUAGGCGGACAGUUUAGUCAGAGGUGAAAGCCCAGGGCUCAACCUUGGAAUAGCCUUUGAUACUGGCUGUCUUGAGUUCGGGAGAGGUGAGUGGAAUGCCGAGUGUAGAGGUGAAAUUCGUAGAUAUUCGGCGGAACACCAGUGGCGAAGGCGACUCACUGGCCCGAUACUGACGCUGAGGCGCGAAAGCGUGGGGAGCAAACAGG